GAAAAAGCAAGGGGACGGUGCCCAUGCCCCUUAACAAAGGAAUAGUACUAGUGGUCUUCUCUCUUUUUCUCCCUGCUGCUGAUGGAGCUCCGCUGCCACCUCUCUAGGUUUACCGUUAGCUUCCUGUCAGCAUUCCUGAUUUCUCUGGAAUCAGUCUGUUUCGGGCAGUUCUGAACAACUGCAGCUAAGCCAGCACUACUACAGGAGUAGGAGACACACGGGUUGCUGGGGUCAUCGAAUGAAGCACCAAUCUGGAAGUUAAGAGGGGGAGAAAAUAUUUGUCCUGAUUUCUCUUUGAGAUUGAUAAUUAAAUUUUAAAAAUCCUAUUUA
rnacentral:lncRNA from 1 species